CCUACGGGAGGCAGCAGUGAGGAAUAUUGGUCAAUGGAGGCAACUCUGAACCAGCCAAGUAGCGUGCAGGAUGACGGCCCUAUGGGUUGUAAACUGCUUUUAUGCGGGGAUAAAUUGCGUUACGUGUAGCUCAUUGCAUGUACCGCAUGAAUAAGGACCGGCUAAUUCCGUGCCAGCAGCCGCGGUAAUACGGAAGGUCCGGGCGUUAUCCGGAUUUAUUGGGGUUAAAGGGAGGGCAGGCCGCCCGUCAAGCGUGUUGUGAAAUGUCCCGGCUCAACCCGGGCCCUGCAGCGCGAACUGGGGUGCGUGAGUGCGCGGGAGGUAGGCGGAAUUCGUGGUGUAGCGGUGAAAUGCUUAGAGAUGACGAAGAACGCCGAUUGCGAAGGCAGCCUGCCGUAGCGUAACUGACGCUGAGGCUCGAAAGUGCGGGUAUCGAACAGGAUUAGAUACCCGUGUAGUC
rnacentral:rRNA from 1 species